CUUUCUGUAACUCGGUUACAUUCCUUGGUUUCGUUGCCUGUCUUUUACUCCAAGUACGCUUCCUGCCUCUUCGCAGGACCACCUCUUCGUGUGUUUUCUCAUCUGGCCAUGUUUAUCCGAGCCCCUGAAGCAAAAUAAAUACACGAUUGACGCAGUUAGAAGAAAUACGCUUGUGAGCGAAAAUGGGGAUUCUCGAAGCGCACAACGUCAAGGUUUUGGGGUCAGGACUGCAAGUUUUAGUCCUAUCUCAUAGCUUUGGCACCGAUCAAUCUGUGUGGAAGUAUCUGGUGCCAUACCUGCUCGAAGACUAUCGUGUUAUUUUAUAUGAUAGUAUGGGUGCUGGUUCCACUAACCCAGAUUAUUUCGACUUCGAAAGAUACUCAACCAUUGACGGGUUUGCUUAUGAUUUGCUUGCCAUAUUAGAUGAACUAGAGGUGAAGUCUUGUAUUUUUAUUGGCCACUCAGUUUUGAGUAUGGCUGGUGCCAUUGCCUCUGUUUCUCGCCCUGAUCUCUUCUCUAAGCUCGUCUUCAUCUGUGGCACUCCGAGGUACAUAUAAAUCUCUCAUUCGAAAGCAUUAACUGUAAAAUUUUAUCAACUGAUUUCAUAAAGCUUUUGCAUGUUGAAACUAGGCCAUUGAAUGAUAAAGACUACCAUGGAGGAUUCGAGCAAGCAGACCUUGACCAAAUGCUGAAAGGAAUGCGUUCAAAUGUCGAAGCUUGGUGCCAAGGCUUCGCACCAAUGGUGGUAGGUGGCGACAUGGACUCGGCGCUUCUGCAAGAAAUCUCCCGAACAUUAUUCAACAUGAGACCUGAUAUAGGCUUAAGUUUAACCCAGGUAAAAUUCCAAUGUGACACUAGACAUAUUUUGCCUCUGGUCAAAGUCCCAUGCCACAUACUGCAGAGCGCCAAGAACAUGGUGCCAGUGGAGGUGUCUGAAUAUAUGCAUCAACAUCUUGGAGGCCCAUCUGUUGUCGAGAUUAUGUCUUCGAAAGGUCACUUGCCGCAUUUGAGCUCUCCAGACAUCGUCAUCCCAGUUAUUCUCAGGCACAUUAACCUUGAUAUAACCAAAUGAUCUAUAUACAUAUAAUGUGUGGUUUGUCUUCCAUGUGAAUGUGUGUGCUUUGUUUUCCAUGUCAAUAUCUCCUAAUCCUUUCUAUGUUUUCACUAGCAAGAAAUGAGAAGCUAUAGACCUUGUAAGCUUCAAACCUUUAAUUAAGCAUAAUGAUAUUCCAUCUUGUAUGAAUUUUGUUUAUGAUAUUCGUAAGAAAUAUUUAUUAAACAAAACUCUUUCCAUGGAAUAUAACUGAACCCAAGCAAAGAUGGCAAUAAUAAUACUAAUAAUAAUUUCAUAUAACUAUAAAUAAUAUGAAAAUUAUAAUAUUAUUGAAAUAACAUCAUAGCUUAAAUAGAUUUCUUUAGUACCAAAAUUUAGAUUCUUUCCUAAAUUUAAAUUGUUUAACUCGAUACCAUUAGAUACAUAUUUUCUAUAUUUAAUUUUUUUUAAAAAAAGUCUAAUUAUUACCCAUAAAACUCACUAAAUAAUCUAAUUAUUACUUAUUAAUAUAUUAUUUUUGAAAAUUUUAAUUUCUUUCUAAAUUUAAAUAAUUUAACGUAUAAUUUUAAUUGUUUAUAUUGAUUUGUAACAAAGUGAUUUGAAAAACCACUUCUUAAGCAAUAAAAAAUGGGUGUAUAUAAUAACUUCUGUUUGUGAAUAUUUUGAGAUGAAGAAAAAACUGAAAUUAUAGUUGAAAAUGAGAAGUAACGUUACAAAAGAGGCAUUUGCGAUAGAAAAAAUCCAUCAAUUUUAAUAAUUAUUCAGUCGUUGAAAGUAACAGCAACGAAAUUGCGACUGUAAAAAUUUCCUUAUUAAUAACCUAAUUGCUAAUAUCAGCAACAGAUUUCUAACUUCGUCACCUGUUGCUAAAAAUAUCAAUACAUAUAUUUAUCACGAAUCAUAUAUUCUUAAAGUCAUUGCAAAGUUAUCAAAAAUUCUAUUUUCUUCGUUCUAUAAUGUUUUUUCGAAAUUAUUAUCUAUUUUUUUUUUAUUUUUAAUAUUAUAAUUAAUAUAUAAAUGGAGUAUUAUAAUUUUAUUUUAUUUUCAAUAUAUACUGUAAUUAAUUUUUAUUUUUCUAAAUAAACAUUUAAAACAUCUCUUGGUAUUUAAUAAAAUUUAAUAUUUUUAAAAUAGAUAUAAUUAAAAAGUUAAUAUUAAAAAUUAUUUUUUUUAAUAUAAAAAAAAUAAAAUGAAAAAAAAUAUAGAACGAAAGAGUGUAAGUUAUAUAUUUUAUAAUUUUUCUAUAUAUUUUUUGUGUUUGUAUAUUUACAACACUUAAUAAGUAGAAUAAAUUAAUUGUGAUAUUCUGAAAAUUAUCAUGAACAUGCAUAUGUUAAUAAAAUUAGUAGAAUAAUUCAAACAUAAUAGUAAAUCUAAGUACAAACAUAUAAAUGAUAAAAAAAAAAAAAUCAUUUUUCAUCCGUAGAUGAUCUGAAUUUUUUUGAGUUCAAUUACUUCUUUUCAAAAAUAUUUGUGGAGUUCAAAUUUUUUCCCAAAGUAUUGCAUAAUUUCAACGUUAAAGCAAUCGGCCGGUGACUCGAACUAGUUAAAAUUAAAAUGAAGAAAUUAAAGAGUGCUUCUAAAAACAUAUUAAAAUGUUAAAAUGAAUUAGUUAAGUUGAUAUGGAACAGUUAGACUCCUAUUAGGAUUAGGAUUAGGAUUAUUUUUGCAUAUUAGGAUUUUAUUUAUAUUGUAAAUAGCCUCCCUUGACUAUUAGGAUUUUAGACUCCUAUUAGGAUUUUAGACUCCUAUUAGGAUUAAGAUUAUUUUUGCAUAUUAGUAUUUUAUUUCUAUUGUAAAUAGCCUCCCUUGGCUAUUAGAAUUUUAGACUCCUAUUAGGAUUACGAUUAUUUUAUUUCUAUUAUAAAUAGCCUCCCUUGGCUAUUAGAAACUCACUUUUCAAUCUUUGAGGAAUUUCAAUAAAACUUUUAGUCUUCUAGCCUAUAUUUUCUCUUAUUUCGUCUUAGCCAAAUGAUAUUGGUUAAAACUCCUGACGGAGUCUAAAUAGUCCUACAUCAGAUUGGUAUUAGAGCGAAAUUCGACCAUGGCAGAUAACCAAGAGGCGCGACUUGCUGCGAUUGAGGCAUCCUUGGCAGAAUUGAGGGAGAUGAUCGGACAGCUCACCCUGCAGCAGGGAAUCCACCAACUUGCCGCCACCGCACACCCCCAGCCAGUCGCCAAUCCUGUGGCCGCCAAUCUUGUGGUCGACAAUAAGGGAAAGGCAGUCACCUAUGUAGUGAAGAAAAUCUUAUGCUCAACUAAACAGGAGGAUGAGACGCAAAGGAGGAAGAUUUUCCAGGCCAAGUAUCGAGUAGGAGAGGCAAUUUGCAGGCUAAUUAUCGAUAGCUAUAGUUGUGAGAAUUUGAUAGCCAAGCAAUUGGUAGAAAAAUUACAGUUGCCUACACAGCCUCACCCCUCACCAUACAAAGUCGGAUGGAUUAAGGAAGGACCAACAAUUGAGGUCAACAGAAUCUGCAGCGUGCCUAUCUCGAUCGGUAAAUCUUAUACUGAACCUGUUAAUUGUGAUGUUGUGGAUAUGGAUUGCUGUGGCAUUUUGCUAGGUCGCCCGCGGCAAUUCGACGUUGAUGCUUUGCAUAAAGGGAAGAAGAAUUCAUACAUGUUCACGUGGAAUCAAAAGAAGAUUACUAUCUUGCCUUCCGGUUCUGCGAAACAUUCUAAUGUGGAAGGGAAGCAUACUGUUGCUGUUUCUACAGGAGUGCAGAAGCUAUCAGGCGCAGUUGAGAAAUCUGGAGGCACACUAGCUUUAUUGGUGAGAGCAAAAGGUACAAUGGAGGAUGCACCAUCUUUACCACCGCCCGUCAAAGAGUUGUUGAAGGAGUUUCCUAAGAUAGUAGAGGAAUCAUCAAAGCUUCCACCCCUGCGGGAUAUCCAACAUCAGAUUGAUCUCAUUCCUGGAUCAAAAUUACCGAAUCUGCCUCAUUACAAGAUGAGUCCAAAGGAGAGUGAAAUCCUCUAAGUACAAGUGGAAGAAUUACUGAAGAAGGGACAUAUUCGGGAGAGCAUUAGCCCCUGCGGAGUACCUGCCCUAUUAGUUCCAAAGAAAGAUGGGACUUGGAGAAUGUGCGUGGAUAGCAGGGCCAUCAACAAAAUUACAGUUCAAUAUCGAUUUCCUAUUCCACGAUUGGAUGACAUGCUAGAUCAGCUAUUCGGGGCUAAAGUCUUUUCUAAAAUCGACCUCAAAAGUGGCUAUCACCAAGUUCGGAUCAAGGAGGGAGAUGAAUGGAAGACUGCCUUCAAGACUAAGGAAGGCUUGUAUGAGUGGCUGGUUAUGCCCUUUGGUUUAACAAAUGCACCUAGCAUUUUUAUGCGACUCAUGAACCAGGUUUUGCGUCCUUUCUUACGCAAAUUUGUGGUUGUUUAUUUUGAUGACAUUUUGAUAUUUAGUCGCAGUGAGGAAGAACAUCUUCAGCAUCUCCGUCAAGUCAUGACGGCCCUACAAGAAAGUGAGUUGAUUAUUAAUCUUAAGAAGUGCAUCUAUAUGACGGAGCGCGUUCUGUUCCUGGGAUUCGUUGUUAGUGCAGAAGGGAUACAUGUUGAUGAGACGAAGGUAGAAGCAAUACGGAAUUGGCCCAUCCCCAAAACUAUUUCUGAAGUUCGUAGCUUUCAUGGCCUUGCCACUUUCUACCGACGGUUUAUCAGAAAUUUCAGCAGCAUCGUUGCCCCUAUCACAGAUUGCUUGAAAAAAGAGAGAGUGCAAAAAUUUGCAUGGACUGAAGCUGCCAACAAGAGCUUUGAAGAGAUUAAAGAUAAGCUUACUUCUGCCCCUAUUCUUGCUCUACCUGAUUUUGAUAAACUGUUUGAGAUUGAAUGUGAUGCUUGUGGAGUUGGGAUUGGAGGAGUAUUGUCACAGUCUAAAAGGCCUAUUGCCUUCUUUAGUGAGAAACUGAAUGAAGCUAGAAAGAAGUAGUCUACUUAUGAGCAGGAACUAUAUGCAGUAUUCCGGGCUUUUAAAACUUGGGAGCAGUAUUUGAUGGGAUGAGAAUUUAUUAUUCACACAGAUCAUCAGUCUCUGAUCCAUUUUAAAACUCAAAAACAUGUGAAUAAGAUGCAUGCCCGAUGGGCAGCUUACUUUGGAGCCUUUCAUUAUGUCAUUAAACAUAAGGCUAGCCAUAGUAAUAAGGUGGCAGAUGCUUUGAGUAGGAGGGCUGCUCUGUUGAUUACAGUUAAUCAGGAGGUUGUAGGUUUUGAAUUCCUGAAGGAUUUGUAUGCUACAGAUGAUGAUUUUGUUGAUAUAUGGGCUAGAGUCCAGACUCACCAGCCUACUGAUGGGUUCUUGAUACAUUAUGACUUUCUUUUUAAGGAGAACAGGUUAUGCAUCCCUCGAUCUUCCUUGCGGGAGAAGUUGAUUCGUGAGAUCCAUGGAGGAGGUUUGAGUGGUCAUUUGGGGCGUGAUAAGACUAUUGCUGGGUUGGAGGAGCGUUUUUACUGGCCUCAAUUAAAAAAGGAUACAGGUCGAAUGGUUCAGAAGUGCCCAGUGUGUCAAACUCAGAAGGGACAUUCGCAGAAUACAGGCUUAUACACUCCACUGCCUAUUCCAGCCCAUCCUUGGGAGGACUUGUCUAUGGAUUUUGUUCUUGGUCUUCCACGUACUCAACGUGGAUCUGAUUCCAUUUUUGUUGUUGUUGACAGGUUCUCUAAAAUGGCGCAUUUCAUUCCCUGCAAGAAAACUAAUGAUGCUUCCCAUGUAGCAAAACUAUUUUUCCAGGAGAUUGUUCGCUUACAUGGUGUCCCCAAAACCAUUACUUCUGACAGAGAUGUGAAGUUUCUAGCUCACUUCUGGGUGACUUUAUGGAAACGCUUCGGGACUGAACUUCGAUACAGCAGUGCUGCUCACCCCCAAACUGAUGGACAAACUGAAGUGGUAAACCGCACGCUUGGCAGUCUUCUACGCUGCAUCUGCAGUAACAAGAAAACUGCUUGGGAUCUUACUCUUGCCCAAGCAGAAUUUGCUUACAACAGUGCAAUUCACAGCUCCACAAAGAUGUCACCAUUUGCUGUUGUGUACAGGAAAGUCCCAGCGCAUACAGUUGAUCUUAUCGCACUUCCCACAGGUUAUCACAACCGUCUUGCAGCAAGCAACCUGGCAAAGCAGCACGUGGAUGUUUUCAAGCAAGUACAACAAUGCCUUACGGAAGCCAAUGAUAAAUAUAAAGUUAUAGCUGAUAAACAUAGGCGUUUCAAAUCCUUCAAUGUCGGUGAUCAAGUUAUGGUGUAUUUACGUAAGGAGCGUGGUGGAGGACAGAAAAAGCUUGACGCCAAAAAGAUUGGUCCAUUCCGGAUCAUUCAGAAGAUUAAUGACAAUGCCUAUGUUUUUGACCUUCCACAUGAGAUGAAAAUUUCCAAGACGUUUAACGUAGCGGAUCUAUUUCAGUACUAUCCUGUUGAAGACAACUCGAGGUCGAGUUCUUUACAAGUGGAAGGGAAUGAUAUGGAACAGUUAGACUCCUAUUAGGAUUAGGAUUAUUUUUGCAUAUUAGGAUUUUAUUUCUAUUGUAAAUAGUCUCUCUUAGCUAUUAGGAUUUUAGACUCCUAUUAGGAUUAUAAUUAUUUUAUUUCUAUUAUAAAUAGCCUCCCUUGACUAUUAGAAACUUACUUUUUAAUUUUUGAGGAAUUUCAAUAAGUCUUUUAGUCUUCUAACCUAUCUUUUCUCUUAUUUCGUCUUAGCCAAACGAUAUUGGUUAAAAUUUCUGACGGAAUCUAAAUAGUCCUACAUCAUAAGUGGUGUAGAGAGCUAACCAAUGAAAGCAGUUGAGUAGAGACCUCGAGUUACGAAGAAAAUCAACGACGCUUAAUCUGUGAAGAGAAUCCACCGCCUCGCCUUAGUUCUUGUGGAUGUCGGCACUGUAUAAUCCUCGCUUCAACGCCAUUGCCUAUCAAAACCUAAAACAAAUUAAGACAGCAGGAACUGAAAGAGAAAGUGGAAAUGAGAUAAAAUCUAGUGAAAGUCCAUCGCUAGGCAAUAAUGGGACACUAACCAGUCAUAAAAGUUCAGGUUAGCUGACGUAAACUCAUCCCAUGAAAAAUGAUGAACCAUGCCUCGCCACACCUGCUUAGCAACUUCGCAGUCCCAUAAAACAUGAAAGGCUGAUUCUAUUUCUGCAUGACAAACGCUUCACUUAGAUGUCGCCGAAUCCGUUCAAAGUUAGUGAGUCAUAAGAAUAUGCGCAUGCAUUGAGGUCCAUUCCAUUUCCAAAUCUGUUUCCAGCGCCUAUCUAGCAGAGAAUAACCUGUUUUAAUGGAGAACUGACGGGGGUACGUAGUAAGAUCCCAGACUGGACAAUCAAGUCCCAUGUAUAACGAAGGUGGUGGAAUAGCCGAGAGAGAGAAGAGUAGAGGCUCCUUCAUCCGAUUCCAAGACCAACGACCCUCCUCAUUCACGUAGUCACUAACAGGGCAAUGCAGGAUACUGUCUCGGGGUUGCUUGACUGCUACCUUACUCAGAGGAAUGCCACCGAAAACAUAAGUAUUUUCCAGACCUUGACGGCUUCCCGUUCGCAACUGACCAAACUGGUGAAUUCCACAUUGCUUUAGAAUUUGUGGAACAGAGGCAAUAUGCCCUUAUAAAAGUCUCAGUUACUCCUCUCUAGUUUUUGGAGUGAACAAAUAACAAAUUUAACACAAACCAACUUUUCCGAGAGCCAAAAGCCAUCUUUCUUUUGCCAAAGCUUAUCCACUGUAGACUGCAUAGAAUAGACUGGAAUAGCUACGAUUGAGCUAGAC
rnacentral:lncRNA from 1 species